rnacentral:rRNA from 1 species
GAUGAACGCUGGCGGCGUGCCUAAUACAUGCAAGUCGAGCGAACAGACGAGGAGCUUGCUCCUCUGACGUUAGCGGCGGACGGGUGAGUAACACGUGGAUAACCUACCUAUAAGACUGGGAUAACUUCGGGAAACCGGAGCUAAUACCGGAUAAUAUGUUGAACCGCAGGGUUCAAUAGUGAAAGACGGUUUUGCUGUCACUUAUAGAGGGAUCCGCGCCGCAUUAGCUAGUUGGUAAGGUAACGGCUUACCAAGGCAACGAUGCGUAGCCGACCUGAGAGGGUGAUCGGCCACACUGGAACUGAGACACGGUCCAGACUCCUACGGGAGGCAGCAGUGGGGAAUCUUCCGCAAUGGGCGAAAGCCUGACGGAGCAACGCCGCGUGAGUGAUGAAGGUCUUCGGAUCGUAAAACUCUGUUAUUUGGGAAGAACAAAUGUGUAAGUAACUAUGCACGUCUUGACGGUACCUAAUCAGAAAGCCACGGCUAACUACGUG